rnacentral:tRNA from 1 species
GGAAAUGUAGCUCAGUGGUAAAGCAUUUGCCUAGCAUGUGAGGUUCUGGGUUCAAUCCCCAGUACUGCCA